rnacentral:lncRNA from 1 species
UCACAAGAACAGCAAGGGGGAAGUCCAUCCCCAUGAUCCAAUCACCUCCCACCAGGCUCCUCCUCCAAACCCACACAUUUGGUCACAGAAGACUUCUGUGUUGACAACUGCUGUGGUGUGAGAGUAGAGGAAAAACAGGCUGCAGUCAGCUAUGAUCAUACCAUUGCACUCUAGUCUGGGCAACAGAGAGAGUCUCUUAAAAAUUAAAAAUUCAGCUG